ACGGGAGGCAGCAGUAGGGAAUAUUGCACAAUGGGGGGAACCCUGAUGCAGCAACGCCACGUGUGGGAAGAAGCAUUUCGGUGUGUAAACCACUGUCGUGAGGGAAUAAUGCUUGGUCUAGGCCAAGUUGAAUGUACCUCGAAAGGAAGCACCGGCAAACUUCGUGCCAGCAGCCGCGGUAAUACGAGGGGUGCAAGAGUUGUUCGGAAGCACUGGGCGUAAAGGGAGCGCAGGCGGAGACGCAAGCAGUCUGUACAAUACCGGGGCCCAACCCCAGACCUGCAGACUGGACUGUGUCUCUUGGAUAGUUCAGGGGCAGGCGGAAUUCCUGGUGUAGCGGUGGAAUGCGUAGAGAUCAGGAAGAACACCGAUGGUGAAGGCAGCCUGCUGGGGACUCAUCGACGCUGAGGCUCGAAAGUGCGGGUAACAAACAGGAUUAGAUCCCUGGUA
rnacentral:rRNA from 1 species